rnacentral:rRNA from 1 species
AUUGAACGCUGGCGGCAUGCCUUACACAUGCAAGUCGAACGGCAGCACGGGAGCAAUCCUGGUGGCGAGUGGCGAACGGGUGAGUAAUAUAUCGGAACGUGCCCAGUCGUGGGGGAUAACGUAGCGAAAGCUACGCUAAUACCGCAUACGAUCUAUGGAUGAAAGCGGGGGAUCGCAAGACCUCGCGCGAUUGGAGCGGCCGAUAUCAGAUUAGGUAGUUGGUGAGGUAAAGGGCUCACCAAGCCGACGAUCUGUAGCUGGUCUGAGAGGACGACCAGCCACACUGGGACUGAGACACGGCCCAGACUCCUACGGGAGGCAGCAGUGGGGAAUUUUGGACAAUGGCGCAAGCCUGAUCCAGCAAUGCCGCGUGCAGGAUGAAGG